rnacentral:lncRNA from 1 species
CAGAGGGAAACUUAUGUAAUAACGGCCACAACACUGAGGAGACAUUAGGAGUUAGAUGACAAGGAUGAAGCUCCAGUACAAUGACCUGGGGAGCCUUCCUGGGGAGAUAUGGCCACUGCCACUCCUGGUGGUGUUUCUUCUGUCGCACAGGGGAGAGGUAGGUUUGUCACUCCCAUGCCGCCCAGGAAAGAAACUAAGGAUCCAGUUGAUCCCAGAGCUGGCAGCAUUCCCUUAACAGUGAUGUUUGGCUGGAUCAGUCUCAAGUUCUCUCUGAGUCCAGAGAAAAGAAAAAAGCUGUGAGAGUUUCCUCAAGUGUGAGGACUUUGUGCUGACAGCAGCCACUCGCUGCUGAGGAAGCUGAGGAACAGCAUGUGGCCCCACCCUUCUGGUGACACUUCACAGAGAACUGCCUUCUCAGAGGUCGCAGAGCUGGGCCACCUAGUAACACAGAAGAGCCCUUCAGAGGACAGGGAAGCUUUGGGGAGAUAGGAACAGGUCAGUGCAAGUGGUCUGUUGAAGUGACGGGCUGGUCAAAUGUGCCAUCGGGAGGAGGCUGACGUCGUGCUCCAUGCCCAGAGUGCACAAGUGAGAAAUUCAGGUUUUGCUUAGACACAGGCAAGCUCUGCAUCUGACUGAGCACCCAGAAUCUGCUCCAGGAACUGCCAGCCAGCAUGGGACGCCAAGAAGCAGAGGACACGGGGAUGUUCAGCCCCAGGGCCCCACCCCCUGUAAUUACUCCCACUCCAGUCCUGCUGUGUCCCAAGCCUUCAUGCCUCCUUUAUGGCUCCUGGGGUGCAAAACCUGUGACUACACAUCCCACUCUGCUCUGUGCAGCUUAACCCACUUUUCCCUCAGGCUCCACAACAUCCAGGAGCAGGAAAGGACCCAGCACGUCAUCCCUGUGAGAGGAGACAUCCCCCAGCCAGACUACAAGCCUAGGAAUUUCUCCAAGGACAUUGUGUUACUAAGGCUUGAAGAGAAAGGCCAACGUGACUGCCUCUGUGAGCCCCCUCAGGCUGCCCAGGAGGAGAGAGCUGGCAAAGCCAGGGACGGUGUGCAGUGUGGCUCACUGGGAGGACCUUGGUGGGAACACUCCUUCAGUCAUAAAACUGUGGGAAGUAGAGCUUGAUAUCUAAAGGGAUGAGCAACGCAUCUCUCACUACAAAGACCAUUACAACAGCAUCACCCAGAUAUGUGUGGGGGACCCAACAAAGAGGAAGACUUUUUAAGGUGAGAUCCCCAGCACUGUCCACGCCCAGCCUGGGGUACAGCCAAGCUUGAGGAGAUCUGGAGCAUAGGGAACUCACUAUAUCCUUAUGUACUCAGCCUUGUCACCAAUUCAAUCUGUGGUCCUGUCACCCUGCAGGGAUAGGAGACUCUACCACAGCCAAUUAUAGGCAAAGUCUUCCUGGUGGAGGAGAAGAAAGGAAUUGUCAGAGCCAGGCCGGGGUCCCAGAAGCAAAGAGGGGCACAAAGGCUGUCCUGGCCCACAUCUCACUCCCAGCCCCCAAACAGAGACCGCUUAACCUCAGGGCAUAAGGGAGGGGAGGAGCAGGAGAAGGCCCAGCCUAGCCCCUCCUCCCCUGCCCACAGCGGGAGCCCAGUGGCUCCCUUGUGAGAAACAAGGUGGCCCAGGACACUGUCUCCUUUGGAAAAAAGAAUGGGAAACAUUCACUUGUCUACAGCAGGACCUCAAGCUUUCUACCCCAUGGAAAAACUGCCUCCAGGAUUGAUCCAUGCAUCUUCUCUGGGGCAGAAGCCAGCAAUGCACUGAGUAGAGGAGGAUGGAGGGGAGGCUGCCAGGGACUUAAUGAACUUCCAUCUUUAGAGUGGAAAUCAUUAAUUCUUUCUUUAUUCACCAAAAUGUCCUAGGGCCUAUAGCGUAUUGAGCAAAUUUUUCAACAGUCUCUGAAUCUUGUAUAUAAGAAUGGAUUGAGAAAAGUAAACUCAUUUUCAAAAUAUCCACCUUAGAGAAGGCUAAACUAGAAAGAAGUCAUCUGCUGAAUGUUUGCCGUUGAUCAGUGUGCUUUGACUAUGGGAAAAUGUUUACUGGGUACAAAAGUAAUGCAUGUUUAUCAUAGAAAGACAGGUAAAGGCAGAACAGACAAAUAAGAAUAUGAAAAUUCCCAAGAAUUUCACCUCCCCGAGACCAGCAUCAUUAGUGCUUAAGCACGUUGCCUUCCUGUCUUUUUCUGUGUCUUCAUAACAUUCCGCUGCUUUAACAGAAUUGGGAUUGGGCUGAUUAGAAUUCAUAAUGUCUUCUUUUCCACUACUUCCUCAUCUGUCAUCAUACUGGAGAGGAUGCUGGGAUAAUCUGUUGGCAAAUACUUAUGUUAGGCCCAGGGAUGACCGAGCCAUGAUUCACUGGACCAGGACAGAGAGUACUUGGUGGAUAGUGAUUAUUAGGAUGAUCAGCAUCCAUUUCCCCAUCUGACAUCAGUAGCCAGCAUUUCUCAAGGGCAACUCCCUCCUCAGAAAACAGACACUCUGAUUGGGGUGGAACAAUCCCCGCCUCAGGUCCACGGGUGUUAAAUGACUUAAGAAUAAAUCACUUAGGCCAUUCAAUUCUGAUGGACUCAAUGAUGGUUUGUUUUGGCCCCAUGAAUAUCAAGUCCAGGAUUUUACUCAAAAUUGUGGGAUGAAUGAAGCUCUCUUUCUCACAGAAUAUUUACAUUUAAAGAGGAGAUUCUAAAUACUCCAAAACACUAGGCUGGACUUGUGGUCAGAGAGGCAGUGAGGUUACCACUGGGGGUGUCUGCGUGUGUCCAGCUCUACAUGCCCCUAAGGGAGGUUCAGAUGUUAUCUCCCACCACCAAGCAGACCCCCACCACGGCCCUUACUGGCCUACACUCUAACUGCAGAUUCUCAGUCUACUCAAGGCGGCCGCCAUCUUCUCAAGGGCAGGAGCCAUCUCACUCAUCUCCUUGGAACAAGCUUCCUAAAUAGUUAUUCAUGACUUCAUCAGGAUGGAAAAAGAGCCAUGAGCUAAG